UUGUGCAGCAGCAUCUGGACCGGUGCAA
rnacentral:piRNA from 1 species